rnacentral:precursor_RNA from 1 species
UUCGCAGAAGCUGAGCUGACUAUGCCUCCCCGCAUCCCCUAGGGCAUUGGUGUAAAGCUGGAGACCCACUGCCCCAGGUGCUGCUGGGGGUUGUAGUCUGACCCGACUGGGAAGAAA